AGCGAACGCUGGCGGCGUGCCUAACACAUGCAAGUCGAACGUGAAAGGGAGCAAUCCCCAGUAACGUGGCGUACGGGUGAGUAACACGUAGGUAAUCUACCCCAGAAUCUGGAAUAACCGGCCGAAAGGCUGGCUAAUACUGGAUAGAGCGACGGAAUCCGUAAUUGGGUUUUUCGGGAAAGGGAGCCUGUAAAACGGCCUUCGUUCUGGGAUGAGCCUGCGUCCCAUCAGCUAGUUGGUGAGGUAAAAGCUUACCAAGGCAAUGACGGGUAGCUGGUCUGAGAGGACGAUCAGCCACACUGGAACUGAAACACGGUCCAGACUCCUACGGGAGGCAGCAGUGGGGAAUCUUGCGCAAUGGACGAAAGUCUGACGCAGUAACGCCGCGUGAGUGAAGAAGGCCUUCGGGUUGUAAAGCUCUGUCGAGUGGGACGAAAAUGCUUGGAGUUCACAGCUCCAGGAACUGACGGUACCACUAAAGGAAGCACCGGCUAACUCCGUG
rnacentral:rRNA from 1 species